UUCGUCUGUGCGUCACGGGCAGACGGCCGGAGGUUCCGAGCAGCCCUUGGGGUGAAGCCGCGGCAACGCGGCCGGGCAACUUCGCCAGCCCGAAUCCGACAGGUCAUCCUUCACAGGCGGCUGACGAAGGGUUGC
rnacentral:sRNA from 2 species